ensembl:lncRNA
AUGUGCAAGAGUCUGCCAAUAAAAAUCGAUCUCUUCUGCUCUAAUUCACACACUAGCUCAGGUCGAUAUAGCCUGCCUCUCUCUCUCCCCGCUGCUCUCCUUCUCUCUAUCUCUCUCCAUCACAUGCACGUACGCUCGCGGCAGCCGCCAGCUUGUAUGCGUCCCUCCUCGCGCCAGAGAGUGGCCGCCUGGCUGCUCGCGCUGCCGUUGGGGAGAGGUGGAGAGGAAUGUGCGCGCCGCGGCCGACUGGAGAUGAUCUCGUUUUGGCUGCUGUGCUGGAAGCUGUUGAGAGCUACAACUGGGCUAAGGAGGACAACACCUGAGCUAACAGACGCUAACCACGACAACGGUAGCUCCAGCAGCAAUAACCCCGUCUGCCCUCCCUCUCCCCCACUGCUAGUCAGUCCAGUUACCAUGGAGAUGAGCUCAUCAGCACCACUAACAGACGGAGGAGAGAGCCUUUUUAGUUGCCACAACCAGGAAGAGGACGAACUAGGUUUUCCUGGGGUCCAUAGGGUGGAAGACAAGGCUGUAGGAGGAGAAAAUAGGAAAGGAGAUGAGUGUGACUAUCUCAUUUUUGAGAUGGGAGAUGAGAAAGGAAGAGAGGUCAGUGAAAGUGAAAGAGGAGAGGAUGAAGGGAGUGGGGAGAUAGAGGGAGAAGAAGAAGAGAGGGGAAAAACAGAAGGAGAAAUCGAAAGAAGAGAAAUAGAGACAGAGGAUGAAGACAGAGGGAGAUUCAAGGGAGAAGAUGGAAAUGAAAGAGAAACAGAGAGUGAUAGCUGGGAAAGAAGAGAGAUAGAGGGAGACGAUGAAACCAGAGAGAGUACAGAGGGUGGGGAGGUAGGGGGUGGAGAAGAGGGAGAAGACCCAGGAGCAAAAGACACAAAAGAAGAGGAUCGCUGGAUCAGAGGAAUAGAGGAAGAGGCAAAAGAAGAUGUCUUUUCAGAUCUCCUCUUCCCCUCAGACAGUCUGCUGCAUCCUUCACCAUCUGAGCCACUAGGUGCCACCUCAGAUCCUCUGGAGGCCGUGCCACAAGAAGUUUGGGGUCCCGACUUCACCAUCAGGGAUGACCUGAGUGACAGCCACCUCAGUGACUGCCUCCAAGCAGAGCGUGUCAUCGUGUACUCAGACAGCGAUGCAGGUGAGGACCAGUGGUCAGCUUUUGCCCCCUCUGACAUCACCAGCCAGAUCGAAGAAGAGAGGAAGAAAGAUGUAACAUUUGAAGAAGAGGAGAAGGUCAAAGGAGAGGAAGAAGACAAUGAAGUCAAAGCAGAUGCAAAAAAACAAGAGCAGAAGAGAGAGGUGGAGGUGGAGGAAUACAGGGUGGGAAGAAAGGAUGAUGAUGAAGACCAGAUGAGGUUGAGGAGAGAUCUUUUCCUACGGUCUCCUUCAGUAAGCUCCACAGCGAGCUCCACGGACCCCGACAAGAAGGUGAGUUUGCUGUUUGUAUGUAGCCUGAUGGCAGAGACACGGGGAUGUUCUUUUGUGCUUUUAACUUGGUUCAACACUUUUCAUCAGACAUUUAACAGAGAUGAAUUAUAACAACAAAAAUGUUUGCCAAACUUUUUUGACAUUUUUUGACAAAAAUAAAAGCAAGUAAGCUACCCCUAACUUAAGCUAUCUCCAAAAAGAAAAGCCUAGACUUAAACCAGAACAGAUAUACGCACACAUGGGGCUUUAUAAACUCUGGUCUUAACAGAGUACCUGUCAGUUAGCCAACGGUGGAUGGAGCUGUGUCUCUGUCACUCAUCUGUUACAGUUUCUGACACUUUUCAUCUGUACCACUCAAAACUGUACUAUCAGUGUCUGACAGAGGGAGCUGCAGCAUGUGCAUGAUUGUAAGAGCCUUGAGCCCAUCACCCAGCAUUAGCACUCGCAGUUUGCAUCAGAGUUCUAGGACAUUAAUUCAAGCAUCAACUAAAGUGAACUAUGUAGUUAUAGCACAGACAGAUCUCAGAAGUAUUCAUUGCUGUAUUAUAACAAAACAUGUUCAUUUUAACAAGAAAAGGAAAUAAAGAUCAUCGCUUCCACCUUGUGCCCAAACUGUGCAAUCAUAGCUGAAAGUGAUAGCAUAGCCCACUCAAAGGUGACAUGAAAAGGCUAAUUUACACUGUGGAUCCCUGCACUCAAAUACUGUCAUAGGUUUAACACUGACUAUGAAGCUGGGUUUAAAAAUAUGUGUUUGAGGUUUUUAGAACAAGUUUAGUGCCGUCUUGUACCAAUACAGAACGUGAUGUCACUGAGUUGGUUGGUUGCUGCUAAUAGACUUAGAUUAGUUUCUGUUAGCUAACUAGUAACAGAACCAUUAUCUCAUUAAAACUAAAAAUCAGUUUAUAUCUAUAUCAGUUUUAUACGAAACCAAGGACACAUUGUCCAUUUCUCUCUGUCCUGUAGGGAUUUUAUGAGAGAGAAGACAAAUAUGUUGUACGUUUUCACAAUUUUCUAUGAAAACGGUUAAAGUUUCAAAUGAGUUUCACAUGGUGCCAUGGACUCUGUGUGUGUCUCAGUGUCUCUGGCUCAGAGACAAAAGGCUGCGUGUCUCUCUGCUUGCUCAGGAGACACAAACAAACAAACAGCCCCACACCCAGACAGUAAUGCUUUUAUUAUGUGUGAUAAACAGGACUCUAAGGUAGGGAUGUGUACCGAUAUGGCACCGGUUCUGACAUAAACGGUAGUAACCAGACCGAAAAGCAGCGCACAUUUUGGUGCUUUAUUUUGGUGCUUUUUAAAAAAUUUUUCAUGAGAUGUCAUACACUUUGGAUUUUAGCCAAUCAUUUUACCUUUACAAGCAUAGUAGGCGGGCCCAGGUACGUACGUUCUUUUAGAGCAGAGCUACAGAUUAAAAAUGCCCAAGGCGAAGCGGUCAAAAGUCUGGCUGUACUUCACAGCAAAAGAUGCAAACUCAGCAGCCUGCAACAAGUGCUUUAAGCCCCACGCCCCCGGUACUGCGAGCAAAAAGGAGGAGAUCACGUUUAAUCGGUUAUAACACGGGGUGAGAAAUAUAAGUCCAGACAUGUGUGGUAUCCACAGAAACCUCUGAAUCUCAGCUAAAAUGUCAUAUAAACCAUUUCUACAACCACCAAACUCAACGAAAACAAGCCAUGAUUAAACGAGCAGUUAUGUAAAUGCGCUCAAGUCCGCUAAACAAACAAGGCGAACCAGAAAUUCUCCAGACUUCAUGUAACCGUCUAAAGAAAAGCUGGUUAUCUUCCAGAGCUAUCACUAAUUCCAAACACCAAGUUUCACCACACUCUGACCAAAAUUCACUGAAUGAGCCACAAAAGAAGACCACAAAAGCACACAGCGGCGUAAAUGUGCUAAGACAGAAAUUGGCUUACCGUCCAGAUUUCCUCCGAUAUUUCGCCGGUAGCCGGUAGCCGGUAGCCACAUGAUUAUCAGCAGUUACCACGCCUACCUAGCCGCAUCAGAGCCGUUUUCUGUCAACAACCUCCAUUUUAGACCCACCUAUAGACACGUGACUGGACAGACGUCAUAUGCAGUAAAUUUGGGCCCACGUGGGUUUUGGCCUUGGAACGUCUGAUUGGUUGAAGUAACGUGAACGUGGCAUCGUUACAAUUCAAUUCAAUUCAAUUCAAUUCAAUUUCUUUAUUGUCCCACAAGGGGAAAUUAGUUUAGCAGGAGGAUAAAAAUAAACAGAACAAUACUAUAAAAUAAUAAUAACAAUAAUAACUAGAAAAAUUUGCAUUUCCUGCGAAAAUGCAGUGUGGAUGCUUUAAAGCUGAAGCUGUCUGCUGAAACUAGCUGAAAAAGCUGAAAAGUUGCAGAAAUUGUAAAAACUUUGCAGAAGCAAAGGAACUUUGCUAAAAUGGAAUAACUUAGCAGAACUGCAAUAUCUUAGAGGAAACAUAAUACUUGGCAGAAUACAAUAGCAUAGCAGAACUUAGCAGAAAUAUUACAACUUACCAGAAACAUUAUAACUUCUCAAAAAUACAAGACUUUAGGAGAAAUAGUAUAAGAUAACAGAAAGAAUAUAUUUAGCCAAACAUUCUUGAACAUUACAGAAAUACUAUGAUUUAGAAAAGCAGUACAACAUAGCAGAAAUGCUGCAAUUUACCAGAGACACUGCAAUAUACUAUGAAUAUUGUAAUUUUAUAUAAAUACUAUGUUUUAGCAAAAAUACUCCAGUUUAGCACAAAUAUUAUAACAUAGCAGAAAUACUAUUCUAUAGCAGAAAUGCUAUAUUUAGAAAGAAAAAUAUAAUAUAGUAGAAAUACUAUGAUUUAGCAGAAAUCCUACAAUAUAGCUUAAUAACAAUGAUUUAGAACAGAUACUAUGAUUGAGCAG